rnacentral:tRNA from 1 species
GGCGGGGUAGCUCAUCUGGCUAGAGCGGCCGUCUCAUAAGCGGCAGGUAGAGGGUUCGAGUCCCUCCCCCGCCACCA